ACCAGGUUGGCCGAGUGGUUAAGGCGUUAGACUUAAGAUCUAAUGGGUAUAAACCCACGUGGGUUCGAGCCCCACACCUGGUA
rfam:Scleropages formosus scaffold11312, whole genome shotgun sequence.